rnacentral:rRNA from 1 species
CUCGUCUAAGAUAAAUAGAUCCCAAUUCUGGUAGAGUAUGAGUUGUAGCUGGCCUAAUAAAUUAAUGUUGGGCAUGUGCACACCUUCUCUUUCACUCCACACACACCUGUGCACCUGUGAGACAGUAGGGGAUUUUUAAUUUAAUUUAAUUGAACCCUCUGUCUACUUAAUUCAUAUAAAAUCAAUUUAAUUAAAAAUGAAUGUAAUUGAUGUAACGCAUCUAAUACUAAGUUUCAGCAGCGGAUUUUUUGGGUCUGCAUCGAUAAGAACGCAGCGAAAUGCGAUAAGUAAUGUGAAUUGCAGAAUUCAGUGAAUCAUCGAAUCUUUGAACGCACCUUGCGCUCCUUGGUAUUCCUUGGAGCAUGCCUGUUUGAGUAUCAUGAAAUCUUCAAAGUAAAUCUUUUGUUAAUUCAAUUGGUUCUGCUUUGGUAUUGGAGGUUAUUGCAGCUUCACACCUGCUCCUCUUUGUGCAUUAGCUGGAUCUCAGUGUUAUGCUUGGUUCCACUCAGCGUGAUAAGUAUCUAUCGCUGAGGACACUGUAACAGGUGGCCAAGGUAAAUGCAGAUGAACCGCUUCUAAUAGUCCAUUAAUUUGGACAAUAUUUUUAUGAUCUGCUCAAAUCAGGUAGGACUAGCCGCUGAACUUAGCCAUAUCAAUAUCAGGAGAAAAAAGAUCAUUAUUGAAUUUAAUGUAGAGUUGGUUGUAGCUGGCCUAAUAAAUUAAUGUUGGGCAUGUGCAC